rnacentral:rRNA from 2 species
AGCAUAGCGAUUUGGGAUAAGUCCCUUGGAAAAGGGCAGCACAGAGGGUGAUACUCCCGUCUUUGCUCAGAUUGUCUAUGUGUACGAUACGCUUUCUUUGAGUCGAGUUGUUUGGGAAUACAGCUCAAAGUAGGUGGUAAAUUCCAUCUAAAGCUAAAUAUUGGUGCGAGACCGAUAGCGAACAAGUACCGUGAGGGAAAGAUGAAAAGAACUUUGAAAAGAGAGUUAAAGAGUACCCGAAACUGUUGAAAGGGAACCGUAACAUGUCCAGUGUUGUAUCUUGUGCAUAUUUCAUUAGUGGAGUAAUUUACUGGUGCCCUGUGCAUAAGUGUGACGUCAAAGUCAGUUUGUAUGCUGCGGGAGAUGGUUAACAAGGAGGUGCGUCGCUUUUGUGUCAGUUAUACCUUGCUAUCUAGUAGCCGUGGUUGAGACUGAGGUGCC